GUAAGGAAUAUUGCACAAUGGGCGAAAGCCUGAUGCAGCAACGCCGCGUGGGUGAUGAAGGCCUUCGGGUCGUAAAACCCUUUUCUGGGGGAAGAGGAAGGACGGUACCCCAGGAAUAAGCACCGGCUGACUACGUGCCAGCAGCCGCGGUAACACGUAGGGUGCGAGCGUUAUCCGGAUUUACUGGGCGUAAAGCGCGCGCAGGCGGUGUCGUAAGUUGGAUGUGAAAUCUUUCGGCUUAACCGGGAGGAGCCAUUCAAUACUGCGGCGCUACGAGGGCAGAAGAGGGGAGCGGAAUUCCCGGUGUAGUGGUAAAAUGCGUAGAGAUCGGGAGGAACACCAGUGGCGAAGGCGGCUCUCUGGUCUGCACCUGACGCUGAGGCGCGAAAGCGUGGGGAGCGAACGGGAUUAGAAACCCCUGUAGUCC
rnacentral:rRNA from 1 species